CGAGUGGCGGACGGGUGAGUAAUGUCCGGGAAACUGCCUGAUGGAGGGGGAUAACUACUGGAAACGGUAGCUAAUACCGCAUAACGUCGCAAGACCAAAGAGGGGACCUUCGGGCCUCUUGCCAUCGGAUGUGCCCAGAUGGGAUUAGCUAGUAGGUGGGGUAACGGCUCACCUAGGCGACGAUCCCUAGCUGGUCUGAGAGGAUGACCAGCCACACUGGAACUGAGACACGGUCCAG
rnacentral:rRNA from 1 species